GUUGUAUAGUUAAGUGACUAAGCGUACAAGGUGGAUGCCUUGGCAAUCAGAGGCGAAGAAGGACGUGCUAAUCUGCGAAAAGCUUGGAUGAGUCGAUAAGAGGCGUUUAAUCCAAGAUAUCC
rnacentral:rRNA from 1 species